rnacentral:lncRNA from 1 species
GAAGGUUCGGAAGUGUUUGCGGAAGCUCAAGGCAAGUCACACAGAUCCCAAACAACCCUUUGAGCAUGUUGAACCCAUUUAAAGCUAUUAUUUUAUUUCAACUAUGCAUUGUUUUCGAAUGUCAUCGGGUGGUGAACCUUUCCCCGUUAAUUAAUGGCCGAAGAUGAUCUUAUUUUCCUAUGGGUUAUAAUUUGAUUAGUAUGAACCUUAUAUAUUGGAUUGGUUCAGCUAAAUGCUAUAUGUAAGUUUGCUUAGCUAUGCUUAGAAACAUUAGCUAACUAAAGGGGUUAAUUAUAAACUAUAUUAUAUUAUUCUUAUUAAUUAUGGUUAUAUUUAAUGGUAGCUCACGAUGGUUAAUCAUGUGAUGUUAAUUAAUUGAUAAUUAAAACCUGGUUAAGGUGGGUUGUGAGCAUAUGGUUUUGAAGGUCGUGCUCAUGGCAAUUAAGGACCGGUUCGCGAGCUACUGUUGUGAAACAUUUACCGUGCCAACCACAAGCCAGCAUGGGCAACGGCUUUAUCUUUUGUAUAGCAUGGUUCAUUAUAGUGUGCCAGACUGUGAAGUGGCGAGAAGUCCACGGGGGUCACUGGGGAGUCCAUGCCUUGUUUAUAAGGGGGUGAUUAUGAUCCGGGAAUGGUGCACUGUUUUGAGUUGUGUUGUGCAAAGGGUAUUGUCACGAUUUCCCCCUUUGCAAUGCCGUGGUGGUAUUUCGGGGCAUGGCAACAUGUGUGGAAUCGUGUCUUGUGGGUACAGUGGUACACCUCUGGCCAGAGUAAAACUAUUCGAAUAGCCGUGCCCGCGGUUAUGGGCGGGUUGAGCAAUGUUUUUCGUGAUUAGUCUCACACCUCUCACAAUAAUUAUGGAUGUUAUAACUGGUAAUAAUUUGCUUAGCUCCUGGUUUGGAGUUAGAUCUGUACAGCCGGGUAUGGUUGUUCAGGAUGGUUGGGCCUGAGCAGCAUGGGUGUGCUGUUCAGUGUUGAUUAAAAUUUCUGAUUAAUUACUCCACUGUUUUACUUCUCUUAAAUGUUUUGCUAAAUGCUGCUUUUGCAAAUGAGCCUGUAUUAUGCCAUCCUUUGGUAUCCUUGUGCACUUGCAUAUUUGCUGUGUGGCUUGUUGAGUAUGUCAUAUGCUCAUUCUUGCAAUAAUCAUCAAACCUCAGUUGAAGAAAAAGGAUCCAGAAGGAGAAGACGUUUAGCUUAUACCCCAGUUGAGCUGCCUGUGGGAGUGGAGCUGAAGCCAUCGCUAGACCGUUAAUUCCGCUGCUGUUUUCUUUUCUUUUGUAAGUAUGUAACGUUAUUAUUAAGAUGGAUUUGUAUAUUAAAUUGUCAGUUUGUGUACCUCGGUUGAUUCCUGGACGAGGAUUUUAUGCACAAAUAAGUUCGGAAAUUACUAGUGAAUUUCCGGGCGUGACAAGUUGGUAUCAGAGCCAUCUCGACUGUAGGAUAAGCCAAAUGGUCAAACCUUAAGGACAAAUCUUCCGAAAACAUAAUUUGUGAAAAUUUCUCCUUUCUUCCUUAUCUAGAAUUCUUUGCAAAUUGUUUCAUUGUCUACUCUCCUCUCUCGUUCAACUUGAGUAGUUCUGAAACUAGUUGUUGAAACUAGAAGAUGUUGAUGAGGUCAACUUAUGGAGGCCAGUAAAGUGGAUCGAGGAAGAACCGAAGUGCAAGUGGUCAAGAUGGAAUGAAGUUUGGAUCCUAUCUUAGAACCUAUGCCGCCAAACUGUCCUCGAAGAAUAGUUAGUAGGGUAGAACGUUUGUUGUUUGCUUUGUGUGUAGGUAUAGUUGCAUUCCCAUCAUUGGAGUAGUUCAUUGAUGAGUGUGUAACUAUACUAGGUUGCUUGCUUAAUCAACUUGAACAAUAUAAUGGUCUACACACAUCAGAUCAGUGUUAACCUGGUUAAGGUCUUAUCUUUAGUGUAACCCCUCUCCUCCUAUCUUCUCUAAUCUGCAACAGAUGGUGAACACUCGCGCCAGUGGAAGUGGAAACAAUAACAAUGAAGAGAACCCAACCCUUGCUCAAGUGCUGGCUCAACAGACCCAAUUGAUCAACAUGUUAGUGCAACAAAUGCAGAACCAGCAAGGGAACAACAAUGUCAAUCCUCCGCCGCCGCAGAACAAGUUAGCUGAUUUUCUUCGUGUGAGGCCGCCUACCUUCUCUAGCACUACCAACCCAGUGGAAGCAGGUGAUUGGUUGCACGCUGUUGAGAAGAAGUUGGAAUUGCUCCAGUGCACGGAUCAGAAGAAAGUUGUUUUCGCUUCACAUCAGUUGCAAGGAUCUGCUUCAGAAUGGUGGGAUCACAUCCGGAUGAACAGAGCAGAAGGACAACCAAUCACUUGGGCGGAGUUCACUGAGGCAUUCAAGAAGACACACAUACCUGCAGGUGUUGUUGCUUUGAAGAAACGUGAGUUUAGGGCUUUGAAGCAAAAGGAUCAUACCGUGGCAGAGUAUCUUCAUGAGUUCAAUCGUCUAGCUCGCUAUGCUCCAGAAGAUGUGCGUACUGACGAGGAAAGGCAGGAGAAGUUCUUGGAAGGCUUAAAGGAUGAGCUGUCAGUUAUGUUGAUCUCUCAUGACUAUGAGGAUUUUCAGGAGUUGGUUGACAAAGCAAUUCGACUGGAAGACAAGAAGAACAGGAUGGACAAUCGUAAGAGAGGAAGGAUUGUUUUCCAGGAGGCACAGGAUAGUAGCCAGAGGCAGCGUAUCAAGCCACUCCAAAUUGGUGAAUCUUUUUCUACUGGUCAAGGACAGUCGCAACAGUUGAACAUCGGUGGUGAGAUCAAAUCAGAGACUAAUGAAAGCAAUGAAGUUAACAUCGAGCAAGCUAAUCAGCCGGUGCCAGUUCAGCAGGAUCAGUCUCAAGAGAAUAACAGUAGUGGAAGGGAGCAGCAGGUAUGUUUCAACUGUUACAAGCCAGGUCACUUUGCAAGAGAGUGUCCGAAGCCGAAGCAUCAGCAGCCGCAAGGUCAGAUCAACAACAUUGUUGUCACAGGAGCUAAUGCAGUGCCAGUUGCGUCUUCAAGAGUUGCGUCUUCAAGUGUUACAGCUCAGCCACCAGUUUCAAAGCAGCAGUAGUUUUCUUUAAAGCCUUAGAAUAAUUAUCUGAGUUAUGGAAUAAUAAGAUAGAAUGCAGUUUACCUAUGCCCUUUUCUUUCUAGCCGUUCCGAAUCUCGGGACGAGAUUCUUUGUAAGGGGGGUAGAUUUGUCACAUCCUGAUUUUUGUUUCAGGAUUUAUAAAUUAUUUAAUAAAUUAUUAUUAGAAUUUAUAUUAAAUGUUCAUUAAUUUACAAAUGAAGUUAAAUGUGGGAAAUAAAAUUUCCUAAAUAUAAAGCAUGGAUGGAUUUAAUUUUUAUUAAAUUCUCCAUGGUUAAUUAUACUCUCUGGAAUAUUCUCGGAUUUUUCGGAGCUCAAUUCCUAAUUUUAAUCAUACAAAGAGCAUUUCAGUAAUUACCCACAUAUUAAAUUAAUCAUUAAAUGGUCUGAUUAUAAUUUUUUUAAGUACUUUUAGUGUCCAAGUAUUUUCAGGAUUUUUCUUGAAAUUAUUUGAGCGUUGGAAGUAUUUUUAACAAUUCAAAGAUCAUUUUAGUGAUUAUUUUAAUUGAAAAAGUUUUAAAAGCCCUCCCUUAAGUCGUUGGGCCGAAUUCGGCCCAACACUCCCUCUCUCCCGCGCGGCCGAGCCGGCCCAAAACCGGCCCGAGUCGGCUCAAGCCGAGCCGCCCGCCCCCUCCUCUCUCAGGCGCCGACAUGUGGGGCCCACAUGUCGGUUGCUUCUCCUACCUCCGGCCGGCCGGCCAUGCCUAGCCCGAGCCGCCGCCUUGCCGCCUCAAAUCCGCACCCAAUCCGGCCCCGUUUCUUCCGGAUUUUUGAGGGGUUUUGAUCCUCUCGUUCUCCUCUAUCCUUUCCCCUAAGAAUCGGAGCAAACCGUUGAGUAUUUUAUCCGAAUCGAACUCGUUUUUGAGUUUAUCUCCAAAACCGAGUUUUUGAUUUCCCGGAUCGAUUUCUUGCGGGAGGAGUCCGAUCUCUUCAAUCCAAGGCUAUAAAUAGGACCCCCUAGUCCUCCUCUUUCGUUUGCCCCCUCUCCCGUCCUCUCCCGUGACCCGUAGAGCCGUCGCCGCGUGAAACCAUCCGCCGCCGCCGCCGGCCGGGUUGCAGCCGCGCCGAGCAGCCUUCUCCGCCGUCGCCGCCGCUUGCCGCCAUCACCUUUAGGUGCGCCAAGCCGUGGGGAAGCUCGGCCGCCCGUUCCCCUUCGCCGCCGGCCACCGGAGCCCCUCCGCCGCCGGUCAACCGAGCCGCCGCCGUCGCCCCUCUCGUUGCCGGUCGUCGUCCGACGUCGUUUGUCGUUGUGGUGAGUACCGUUGGGUUCGUCUCGUCGUCCUCUACGUGUACAUGCCCUCCUUUUUCCCGGCCGACCACCCUAGCUCCUGCGAGGUCGCCAUCUGAGCCGGCCGCCACACAUCAUCAUCUUCUCCUUUUCCAGUUUUUUCUAAUAGAUGAAAUCUUCGGAAAAUCAUAACUAAAUAACCGUAGAUCCGUUUCAGGUGGUUCAAGUUGCUAAAUUUUUCUAAAAUCAAGAUCUACAUGUUAAAAAUAUCCACAUGUACUGUUUAUGCUUGUUUUUGUACUGUUUUGUUGAUUUUUAUUCUUUUGCUUUAGUUUCCGACGUUCUGAAGGAGAGCCUUUCCGUUGAGGAAGGUUCGGAAGUGUUUGCGGAAGCUCAAGGCAAGUCACACAGAUCCCAAACAACCCUUUGAGCAUGUUGAACCCAUUUAAAGCUAUUAUUUUAUUUCAACUAUGCAUUGUUUUCGAAUGUCAUCGGGUGGUGAACCUUUCCCCGUUAAUUAAUGGCCGAAGAUGAUCUUAUUUUCCUAUGGGUUAUAAUUUGAUUAGCAUGAACCUUAUAUAUUGGAUUGGUUCAGCUAAAUGCUAUAUGUAUGUUUGCUUAGCUAUGCUUAGAAACAUUAGCUAACUAAAGGGG